rnacentral:rRNA from 1 species
UACAGAGGGUGCAAGCGUUGUUCGAAGAUUAUUGGGCGUAAAGGGCGCGUAGGCGGUGCGGUAAGUCUGUAGUGAAAUCUCUGGGCUCAACUCAGAGUCUGCUGCAGAAACUGCCGUGCUUGAGUGUGGGAGAGGUGAGUGGAAUUCCCGGUGUAGCGGUGAAAUGCGUAGAUAUCUGGAGGAACACCGGUGGCGAAGGCGGCAUCCUGGACCAAUUCUGACACUGAGGAGCGAAAGCCAGGGGAGCAAACGGG